CAGAGGAUUUAGAGGGCAGUAGAAAUACUCUGUAUGAUACUAUAAUGAUGGAUAUAUCUCAUUACACAUUUGUCCAAACCCAUAGAAUGUCUACCACCAAGAGUGAAUUCUAAGUCUCUGUCCUCUCCAACUUUAUCUACCUAUUUGAAAGAUGUCAUUCCUCUACCUUUGUCCAAGCCUUCGGCAUAUGGCUCACCUAUUUAUCUAUUUAUAUGAAGAAAGGAAAUCCCAUCUCUUUUCAUUCCUCCAAUAUUUCUUCCAGUGACAAAAUCAUUUUACUAAAGAACAGGAGGGGAAGGUAGAAAGUGUCGUUUUCCAAAUCAAACAUAGAAACCCCUUAUUCUCAGCUGAUGGAAGCGACACAGCACACAUCUGGAACUCCUACUCUUUACUCAGCUAAAUGAUAAAAGAGUGUGACAUGGAGACUCAGAUAAUACAUGAUACCAUGAAAUAUACAUUUAUUGAUCUAACCUAUUAAAUGCUGACAGAGUGAAUACACAAUUGGACUAUGGCCUGCCUAUAUGACAACAGAACUCUGACCCACAAGCUGUGCAGCAACCAGUUUAGAACAGUUAGCACGUCGUCAGUAACUGCCAGCUUUCUUCAUUUUUGCUCCUACUUCCAACUCAGAACCAACCAGAGAAAGCCAAAUAUGCUUCCCUAAUCAAUUACAUAGAACAACCUACUUCUAGUUAGUGCACCAUCAGUUUCCCCAGGACAACCACCUCCAAUUAAGGCAUAAUUGAAAUCUUUGAGUCUAGACCAAAUUCAGAUGAAGGCUGACUCCCUUGCCAUAGCAAAUUCUGAGUAAACAGCCUCUGUAUUUUCUUAUUUGAAUUGUUUUUGUUUAUGUCUACAUUGUUUUCCUCUCAAGGCCCUGAUCAUCCCAACAUAUGGUUGAACAACCCUAUAGGUACCUUAAAACAUACAUUAGGUUUUGAAAGUAACUUGGAGACACCAAACAUACACCAUCCUUGUCACACAUCUUAGAAAUAAUCAGAUCAAAGGUAGUGAGAGCCAUACUAGCUGAGAUGUAUCUUUAUGACUCGGACUUGUGCUACUGGGUUCUACUUAAAUGAUAAUAUCAGAUGUUUAUUUUGGAUUAUAUAUAAAAACAACAACAAUGGCAACAAAACAAAAAUUUAAAA